CUUUGUGUUUAGGGCUCGUCUAGUACUUCUAAUUUUUAUUUGUUUGUUUUGUUUGGUAUUCAGAGCUUCUUAGUAACUCUAUAGAUCUUGUUAAAAUGUUUUAUUUUGCACUGUAUUUAUCUGCUGCCCAAGCAUUGCAUUAAUCAAUUUUAUUUCCUACCUUAGAGCUAGAAGUAGUUAAUUAGAAAUGCUGUUAAUAUAUAUAUAUAUAUUUUUUCCAUCAUAUACACAUUAUAUUCCAGCUUUGUCAUUUACAAAAAUUUUGGCAUUCGAUUUUAUUUUGCGCUGUAUGUACUUUUGAUCUCCCUCCCUCCCAUUCUCUCUCUCUCUCUCUCUCUCUCUCCAUGGAUAUAUAUAUAUGUAUAUAUAUUUUUAUGUAAAUUUUAAUAUUAUAAACAGAUUGUGGCUGACAUACUGAAAAAUCUCUUGCAUGUAUUUCAGGGAACCAGUUAUCCUCAUCGACCCAUACCACCUGGGACUGGUCCUGCAGUCCCUGUUACAUCACAACUGGGCUUAGUACCUGGCCAUAAAAUGCCACAGAUUGUAGCUCUCACCACACAGCCGCUGGGAUUUAGGCCAGUGGAUUCAGGGUCGUUCAAAGACCCUGGAUAGGUUCCAUGCAACCACCUAGCGCUACUUGGAUAGCAUCAGCACCACCCACCAUUGUAGUUCUUCGAUUGCAACCACCGAGGCCUUGGAUUAUGGAAAAUUUUCAGUUCUUAUUAUCCAAUCAAGUACUACUUACGACCAGCGACUGGGCUGACUGCAAGCAACUUCUGACUAGGUACACCAAAGUGAAAUGAUCAAGACAAGAAGACAGAAUGUGAAAUUGAAAUAAAGAAGGCAUCCCUUCUAUUUUCUGAUUGCUAAAUUGGAAACUUUUUAAAACGAGUGGCCAGCUUCUUGUAGCGAUAUCCUUUCUUGAAAAUGCACACAAGAACAGCUUUUCUCGAUUGCUACUGCAGGAAUUUGGUUCUUCGUAAUUGCUUUACUGCAUUUCAAUUAAAUUCUAUUUUUGAAAGCUGUCAAGGAUGAUAGUUCUUAGGUCAUUGGACUGCU